CUGAGACCCCUAGGAGGUGGGAAACACCUGGAUAAAGCAAGUCACUGCAGAAACCCACAAUGCUCUCCUGCCUGUGCAUGCCUAGCAGACCUGAUCCCACCACUUGCCCAGGUGGGGAGUGCUGAGUCUCAGCUGUCUCCCGAUGUCUGCAACUCGAAGGAGGGACUGGAAAAGCAUCUGUCAAGGUGUUUUUGAUGGGAUGGACCAGAGAAAGCAACUCAUGUGAGCUUUAAAAACGUGAUGCCGCAGUGCUGACACGCUUAGCUGAAAAGUCCAAACCUUAAGUCAGCAUUUAACAUAGCCUUUGGGGCAAGAUGAAGGCAUUGCAAAGACUCAUCGUGUUUUCUUCAAGUUGAUUGACAAUGCCUGAGACUCAUUUUUGACUUCUUACAGGCUUGGGCUUUUGAGACCUGAUUGCUGGAACAGAAUUAUCUUCUCUAUCAGCCGCUCCCCGUCUUUUACUUGAGGCAAUGUCACUUUGUUGACUCAAACUGGAGGGUCCAAAGUGUCCUGUGGCAUGCUGCAGAACAGAAGCAGUGUGAUAUCAUCCAAUAUGGCCAUAACAGGUUUUCCGGGACCUGGGCGUGAGGGGAAUGGAGACCGGCUGUCCAAGAGGCACAGGCGUUCAGCUUUACAGAAUUAACAGUUCUUGAUGUUGGGUACCUAGCCACACAAAUAUACUCACCUGAUUUUGAAAUGUAUGAUCAGAAUUUGUU